AUGACAAAAAGCAUGCUUGGAUUUUUGGCUGGUCUUGUUGCUGAUGGGAAGAGAACGUCAAGUGGAAUCAGGGAUGUGCAUCAUAGACAAUGUGCUACUGUUUUGAACGAGCAAUUCAAGCUUUCUAUCAUCGGAGAGCAAGUCAAAAAUCAUAUCAAGAAGUGGAGGAAUAUUUGGACAAAGGUGGUCAAUUUGAAGAAUUUAAGUGGAGCUCUAUGGGAUGAAGAUACUUGCACAAUUAGGCUCAGCGAUGAGCACUAUGCAGGGCAUUGUAUGACCCACAAAGCUGAUGCCCCCUUCCUGAAUACCCCAAUUGAGCACUAUCAUGCCACGGCUGCCAUUUAUGGGACAAUUGGGGCCAAGGGGCUGAAUGCCAGGUCUGACAAUGAUCUUCUUUCCAUUGAUCUCGAAGGCGAGGAGAACGGUGAGGUCAACACGUCACCAAAUGUUGGUGAGUCUUGUCUCCCCAAAGCACCACCAAAAAAGAAGGCUAAGGUAAAGCAUGUUCCUUAA
rnacentral:rRNA from 1 species